GAAAGUAAUGAAGGGCGUACGGUGGAUGCCUAGGCUCUUACAGGCGAUGAAGGACGUGAUAAGCUGCGAAAAGCCGCGGUGAGGCGCAAAUGGCCCUUGACCCGCGGAUCUCCGAAUGGGACAACCCAAUAUCUUGAAGAGAUAUUAUCCCGCCGGUGCGGGAGGCGAACGCGGGGAACUGAAACAUCUUAGUACCCGCAGGAAAAGAAAAUAAAGAAUGAUUCCCCCAGUAGUGGCGAGCGACCGGGGAAGAGCCCAAACCGACGUUGUCUCGGCAUCGUCGGGGUUGUAGGACCGCGCCAUCGCAAGAAAGGCCGUGAGUGGAAGCGACUGGAAAGCCGCGCCAUAGAGGGUGACAGCCCCUUACACGAAGCAGCCUGAAGCGUAGCGGACUCCUGAGUAGCGCGGGACACGAGUAAUCCUGUGUGAAUCCGCCGGGCCCAUCCGGCAAGGCUAAAUACUCGUAAGAGACCGAUAGUGAACCAGUACCGUGAGGGAAAGGUGAAAAGGACCCCUUGCAGGGGAGUGAAAGAGUUCCUGAAACCGUACGCCUACAAGCGGUCGGAGCAUCUUGAAUGAUGUGACGGCGUGCCUUUUGCAUAAUGAACCUACGAGUUGCCGUCACCAGCGAGGUUAAGUGCGACGACGCACCGAGCCGCAGCGGAAGCGAGUCUUAAAAGGGCGCGAUAGUUGGUGGAGGCAGACGCGAAACCGAGUGAUCUACACUUGUCCAGGAUGAAGUCCCGGUAACACGGGAUGGAGGUCCGCACCAAUAAGCGUUGAAAAGCUUCUGGAUGAGGUGAGUGUAGGAGUGAAAGGCCAAUCAAACUCGGAGAUAGCUCGUACUCCCCGAAAGGCAUUUAGGUGCCGCCUGUGGCGUUCCCGACGUGAGGUAGAGCGACUGAUAGGAUGCGAGGGCUUCACCGCCUAUCAAGUCCUGACAAACUCCGAAUGCACGUCGGCCAAGCCAUGGAGUAAGGGCAUGGGUGCUAAGGUCCGUGCCCGAGAGGAGAAGAAUCCAGACCACCGGCUAAGGUCCCGAAAUACUGGUUAAGUUAGACUAACGCAGUCCGGCCCCCAAGACAGCUAGGAUGUUGGCUUGGAAGCAGCCAUUCAUUCAAAGAGUGCGUAACAGCUCACUAGUCGAGGAGCUGGGCGUGGAUAAUAAUCGGGUAUAAAACCAGUUACCGAAGCCGUGGGAUGCUCAAGCAUCGGUAGGGGAGCAUUGCAUGCGGCUUGGAAGGCGGGGCGCGAGCCCCUCUGGAGCGCAUGGAAACGCAAAUGUAGGUAUAAGUAACGACAAGGGGGGUGGGAUGCCCCCCCGCCGAAAGACCAAGGUUUCCUGAACAACGCUAAUCGGUUCAGGGUCAGUCGGGUCCUAAGCAUAAGCCGUAUGGCGAGGGCGAUGGAUGAAACGGUUAAUAUUCCGUUACUGUCUUGGUGUGUGACGCGGCGACGGAGUAGUGACACGGCCGCCUCCUGACGGAAAAGGGGGUUGAAGCGCAAAGGUGUCGAGGAAGGCAGGCAAAUCCACCUUCCGAGCCGAAGCGCGAUAGUACGCCGGGCCCUUUGGGGCAAGGCGAUAGUGCCGGUAAUCAGACUUCCAAGAAAACCCGCUAAACUUCAGCACCAAGUCACCCGUACUCCAAACGGACACACGUGGUCGGGUAGAAUAUACUAAGGCGCUUGGGAGAUUCACGGUUAAGGAACUAGGCAAAUUGACCCCGUACCUUCGGAAUAAGGGGUCCUCGCUUUUGCGAGGCGCAGAGAAUAGGUCCAGGCAACUGUUUAACAAAAACACAGGGCUGUGCCAAUUUGAAAGAAGAAGUAUACAGCCUGACACCUGCCCGGUGCCGGAAGGUUAAGAGGAGAGCUCAUCAGCGAUGAGAAGGCUUGAAUUGAAGCCCCGGUAAACGGCGGCCGUAACUAUAACGGUCCUAAGGUAGCGAAAUUCCUUGUCGG
rnacentral:rRNA from 1 species